rnacentral:rRNA from 1 species
UACGGGGGGAGCAAGCGUUGUUCGGAUUUAUUGGGCGUAAAGAGCGUGUAGGCGGCUAGAUAGGUCCGUUGUGAAAACUCGAGGCUCAACCUCGAGACGUCGAUGGAAACCAUCUGGCUAGAGUCCGGAAGAGGAGAGUGGAAUUCCUGGUGUAGCGGUGAAAUGCGCAGAUAUCAGGAAGAACACCCGUGGCGAAGGCGGCUCUCUGGUACGUGACUGACGCUGAGACGCGAAAGCGUGGGGAGCAAACAGG